rnacentral:lncRNA from 1 species
CUCCAGACCUUCCUAUCUAGGGUCAUGUCCUCGGUGAGCUGUAACUGCUCCAUGUCUCGCCUAAUCACCUCACCCCAGUACUUCUUCGGCCUACCCCUACCCCGCUUAAAACCAUCCAACGCUAGCCUCUCACACCUAUGGACCGGGGCAUCCACGCCUCUCCUCUUCACGUGUCCGAACCAUCUCAAUCGGGCUUCUC